GAUGAACGCUGGCGGCGUGCCUAAUACAUGCAAGUCGAGCGAACAGACGAGGAUCUUGCUCCUCUCACGUUAGCGGCGGACGGGUGAUUAAUACGUGGAUAACCUACCUAUAGGACUGGGAUAACGUCGGGAAACCGGAUCUAAUACCGGAUAAUCGAUGGAACCGCAUGGUUCAAUAGUGAAAGCCGGUUUUGCUGUCACUUAUAGAUGUAUCCGCGCCGCAUUAGCUAGUUGGUAAGGUAACGGCUUACCAAGGCAACGAUGCGUAGCCGACCUGAGAGGGUGAUCAGCCACACUGGAACUGAGACACGGUCCAGACUCCUACGGGAGGCAGCAGUAGGGAAUCUUCGGCAAUGGGCGAAACCCUGACGGAGCCAUGCCGCGUGAGUGAUGAAGGUCUUCGGAUCGUAAAACUCUGUUAUUAGGGAAGAACAAAUGUGUACGUAACUAUGCACGUAUUGACGGUACCUACACAGAAAGCCACGGCUAACUACGUG
rnacentral:rRNA from 1 species